rnacentral:rRNA from 1 species
GACGAACGCUGGCGGCGUGCCUAAUACAUGCAAGUUGAGCGAUGAAGCUUGGUGCUUGCACCAAUUUGAAGAGCAGCGAACGGGUGAGUAACGCGUGGGGAAUCUGCCUUUGAGCGGGGGACAACAUUUGGAAACGAAUGCUAAUACCGCAUAAUAACUUUAAACAUAAGUUUUAAGUUUGAAAGAUGCAAUUGCAUCACUCAAAGAUGAUCCCGCGUUGUAUUAGCUAGUUGGUGAGGUAAAGGCUCACCAAGGCGAGGAUACAUAGCCGACCGGAGAGGGUGGUCGGCCACAGUGGGACUGAGACACGGCCCAAACGCCUACGGGAGGCAGCAGUAGGGAAUCUUCGGCAAUGGACGAAAGGCUGACCGAGCAACGCCGCGUGAGUGAAGAAGGAUUUCGGAUCGUAAAACUCUGUUGGUAGAGAAGAGCGUUGGUGAGAGUGGAAAGCUCAGCAAGUGACGGUAACUACACAGAAAGGGACGGCUAACUACGUG